rnacentral:rRNA from 1 species
AAAGCGUGCGCAGGCGGUUUUGUAAGUCUGAUGUGAAAUCCCCGGGCUCAACCUGGGAAUUGCAUUGGAGACUGCAAGGCUAGAAUCUGGUAGAGGGGGGUAGAAUUCCACGUGUAGCAGUGAAAUGCGUAGAUAUGUGGAGGAACACCGAUGGCGAAGGCAGCCCCCUGGGUCAAGAUUGACGCUCAUGCACGAAAGCGUGGGGAGCAAACAGGAUUAGAUACCCCUGU